rnacentral:lncRNA from 1 species
UGUUGUUCCCUCAGUACACAUUUAACCUGCUAUUCUCACUUGAGUGAACCUGCACCAAUUAGGUUUCUCACGAUGCUGUGCAUCUGACGUCAUGACGUCUCCGCCUUCUCCAGAAUUUUCCACCUGCAGUUGAUGAGCCAAUUUCUCUGCUUGACAAGGGAAGAAGGCCAGGACACAACUCAUUUGGAAUACCUAAGUGUUGUGCUUCAUGUGGAGAUGCAAGGACUGUGGGACGACAUUAACAAAAGAUCUGAA